CCCUUGAUGGUACAGUGGUUAGCGAAGUUGAUGGCUAUCUCAAAGCUAUGAUGUGGGUUCGACUCCCACUUAAGGUU
rnacentral:tRNA from 1 species